AAAGCCUCCGAAUAGCGAGAAGGGGCAAUAUUCGAAUACUUUCUGGUUCAGACAGAGGCUUAUAUUAAAACUCGAAUCAGUUUUUGAGGGUGGAAAAAAGCUCUCUUUUUUUUUGUACCCAUCAAACCUUUCACUCCUUUAUUGGAUAGAUUCGAAGAUGU
rnacentral:snoRNA from 1 species